GAUAAACGCGUGGCGGCGCACAUAAGACAUGCAAGUCGAACGGACUUAACCGAGAUGUUUACAUUUUGGAGCGGUUAGUGGCGGACUGGUGAGUAACACGUAAGCAACCUGCCUAUUAGAGGGGAAUAACACAGAGAAAUUUGUGCUAAUACCGCAUGAUGCAGUUGGGUCGCAUGGCUCUGACUGCCAAAGAUUUAUCGCUCUGAGAUGGACUCGCGUCUGAUUAGCUGGUUGGCGGGGUAACGGCCCACCAAGGCGACGAUCAGUAGCCGGACUGAGAGGUUGGCCGGCCACAUUGGGACUGAGACACGGCCCAG
rnacentral:rRNA from 1 species